rnacentral:tRNA from 1 species
GCGACACUAGCUCAGUUGGUAGAGCGCAACCUUGCCAAGGUUGAGGUCACGCCUUUCUAUUAUGAAUAGGGAACCUCGUGUGUCGCUCCA